UACGUAGGGUGCGAGCGUUAAUCGGAUUUACUGGGCGUAAAGGGCGCGUAGGCGGUCAGCACAAGUCAGUUGUGAAAUCUCCGGGCUUAACUCGGAAAGGUCAACUGAUACUGUGCGACUAGAGUGCAGAAGGGGCAACUGGAAUUCUCGGUGUAGCGGUGAAAUGCGUAGAUAUCGAGAGGAACACCUGCGGCGAAGGCGGGUUGCUGGGCUGACACUGACGCUGAUGCGCGAAAGCCAGGGGAGCGAACGGG
rnacentral:rRNA from 1 species